AUUGAACGCUGGCGGCAGGCCUAACACAUGCAAGUCGAACGCGUAGCGGACGUGUGAGUAAUUUCUGGGCAACUUCCUGAUGUAUGGGGAUCACUACUGUAAACGUUAGCUACUACCGCAUACCAUCGGAUGUGCCCAGAUGGGAUUAGCUAGUAGGUGGUGUAAAGGCUUACCUAGGCGACGAUCCCUAGCUGGUCUGAGAGGAUGACCAGCAAGACUGGAACGGAGACAAGGUCCAGAAUCCUACGGGAGGCAGCAGUGGGGAAUAUGGAACAAUGGGCGCAAGCCUGAUGGAGCCAUGCCGCGUGUAUGAAGAAGGCAUUCGGGUUGUAAAGUACUUUCAGCGGGGAGGCGUUACCCGCAGAAGAAGCACAGGCUAACUCCGUGCCAGCAGCCGCGGUAAUAC
rnacentral:rRNA from 1 species